GAAACUAUUUGAAACUACUGAGUUUCAUCCCAUUCAGCAAUUAAUCAUGGCUUACCCAGUCCAUUUCCUUCAUCAUUUUUAAUGUCAUGACUCAUCGGGUGGAUGGAUCUGUUUCAGAGGGCCAAUUCCCAGCAGGAUAGCAUCCAGGGCAGACUUCCUGUGCCGUGGCUCUGUUGUCUAGCCUUUUAAGGAUGAAGACUUGACAUGCAUCAGAGAAGUACAAAAUGGAAUUACUGCCCAAGUGAGCUUCGAGACAUAAUUAAUGUAUAGCAAAGAGAAUCGUAACUCCAUGUCUGAGAGUAGAUCUUGAUUGUGUUAGACAGAGUUGAGGGUUGAGAAUGGUGAAAGAUGAGUGUAUUAAGUAAGAAUUUGUCAGGAAGGAAUCCUCAGCCCAUGACUGAAAGCUCCCUGGCAAGGGUACAGGGAAGAGUUCUAUCUGGUUUGGAUGCUUACCAUAAGCUUGGGCCUGGGGAAAGGGAAGUCAUGCAUUAAAUUAAGUAGACAUGACAGAAAUGCUUUGGCGGAAUUUUGAUCAAGAGCUCAAAGACCCAGAGAAGCAAACUGCAUGCUGGAGUUUUUCUGUUAUGUAACAGCAGCUGACUGUUAACUGGAGGGAUUUGAGCUCACGCUUACCUCUAAGCUGGCCAGGACCAAGCUAGGAUUGAGAGUGCUAUUCUUGAGCACGAGGGUCAAGGCCCUGCUUACAAGAAAUGUGUACAGCAGAGAUUUCAGUACAUACAACUUUACAUAUUUCACAUUGAACUUAACAUUUUAAACUUAAACUCAGCACUUACACUGGAAACAGUCUAUGCAAAUUUUCCUUCUCAGUUUUGGAAUACUCUGGAAUUCUACUUUCAUAUGAAUGAUAAUUUAUAUGUUAGAUUUCAAAAAAGGAUCCUUAUGUGGUCCCCAAUUUUGGUUAGUUACCCUUCUCUAUACAGCUUUCUAGCUUACCUACUGCCUAGUUUUGAGUGGUUGUUUUAAUUUAUGUCUAAAGAAGUAAGUUUUCCCAAAUAGUCCCCUAGACCCUUGCAAAUAAGAUUAAUAUCUUAUGCCUCAGAAUUUG
rnacentral:lncRNA from 1 species